AUUGUUUUUUGGCUUUUUGGCUGAAAUCGAGUGUAAUAUAUGUUUUUAUCAGUUUAGGAUCUGAUAGAUUGUUUAUCUGAAGGUGAUAUAUGAAGUGAGAUUUUGAAGCCUGGAGAUGGAUUAGGAGCUGUCUCUUUCCUGUUCUAGCAUUGAUCUGUUACUGCAAUAUCUUCACAAACGAUGCAGGAACG